rnacentral:rRNA from 1 species
GACGAACGCUGGCGGCGUGCCUAAUACAUGCAAGUAGAACGCAGUUGGAACGGGUGAGUAACGCGUAGGUAACCUCCUUAUCGCGGGGUCAACUAUUGGAAACGAUAGCUAAACCGAUACUGUGUGAUGGACCUGCGUUGUAUUAGCUAGUUGGUGAGGUAAAGGCUCACAAAGGCGACGAUACAUACCCGACCUGAGAGGGUGAUCGGCCAAACUGGGACGGAGACACGGCCCAGACUCCUACGGGAGGCAGCAGUAGUGAAUCUUCGGCAAUGGACGAAAGUCUGACCGAGCAACGCCGCGUGAGUGAAGAAGGUUUUCGGAUCGUAAAACUCUGUUGUUAGAGAAGCGGUAUCUAACCAGAAAGCCACGGCUAACUACGUGCCAGCAGCCGCGGUAAUUC